rnacentral:rRNA from 1 species
CGGCAGCUUACCAUGCAGUCGAGCGGAACGAUGGGAGCUUGCUCCCAGGCGUCGAGCGGCGGACGGGUGAGUAACACUUAGGAAUCUACCUAGUAGUGGGGGAUAGCUCGGGGAAACUCGAAUUAAUACCGCAUACGUCCUACGGGAGAAAGGGGGCAGUUUACUGCUCUCGCUAUUAGAUGAGCCUAAGUCGGAUUAGCUAGUUGGUGGGGUAAAGGCCUACCAAGGCGACGAUCUGUAGCUGGUCUGAGAGGAUGAUCAGCCACACCGGGACUGAGACACGGCCCGGACUCCUACGGGAGGCAGCAGUGGGGAAUAUUGGACAAUGGGGGAAACCCUGAUCCAGCCAUGCCGCGUGUGUGAAGAAGGCCUUUUGGUUGUAAAGCACUUUAAGCAGUGAAGAAGACCAUAUGGUUAAUACCCAUAUGCGAUGACAUUAGCUGCAGAAUAAGCACCGGCUAACUCUGUGCCAGCAGCCGCGGUAA